ACGUGCUAACUCGCAGAAGAGGGGCUUGUGCUAUAUUUUGUGAAUAGUAUUGUCCUAUGUAUACACGCGAGUUUCGCGUUCCUUCCCGUUGGCGAAUCGUCCCAAGCGCGUUUUGGCAUACUGACAAUUCCGUACAAAACUGUUCUACGGAGCGAGCAACACUUUACGAGAGGCUAAUCCAUGCUACAAGCACGAGCACGCGUGCGACUUCGAGGCAACUGCAAUCUCAGAGGCUUUGAUAGAUGCCGCAAGCUUCGAGCUCGAGAGCAUUCUCGUUUUCCUGACGAGUAGCUCGAGGUCUUUGCAUCGUAUAGCUUUGGACACAACGCCAUCGUGCGGACUAGUACAUUUUGGAGGAAACGCUUGCCCGAAACGGAAACCUCGCUCAAAGGAUCAAUGCUGCGCGGAGGCCGGGCUUAUGGUUCGCAAUUUUGACACGGAGCUAUGCACAAAUAGUGCACACAUUCAUCCAUGCAUAAGUAACGUAUGGCCAAAGCAAAUACUUCUUAUCACAUUUCCGGCCAAUUAUCCCCGCACGAAUAUCAAUGGCUCGCCAAAAUUUCGUGAUUUUUCAAAGCCACGAAUUUUCAUAUCGCUUACCACAAACGUUUUUGUGGCUUUACUAUGAAAAUUAGUGCGAUUUUUUUGCUUCGUUGAUCCGGCAUUUUGGAGCACGACUAUUUUAACUUGUACGGGGAAAUUUUAUGCUCGGGCACUUAUCCAAGUAAGUGGGAGGACUGAACAAUGCCGGGAUCGUAAACCACUGAUUAUCUUUUUUUAUUUUUCGAAAUUUCUCAAUAUCAAAAGCUCCGUUUUGAUAUUUCAGACCGCGCACGCACAACGAGCUCAUAACAAUAAAUUUUAAAUAUUAACGCAUUUUUUUGUACUUUUCAUUGGUUACGGGAGUUCUUCUCAUUCAACCAAAAAUCUUCACUUUCAAUCGAGUUGAAUCUCCAUUUAGUUUCUCCAUUUUCCAACAAUUCAUCGCUCGAGCUCUAGUUAAAUUGAUAUUUCGUGUCUCCUUCUCCGUCAUUACCGAAUAUCGGAUAGUAAAAGAAGCAAAAAACCCGGACUUCGUAUGGGCACCGCAGUUGGUGAGUCAUUCGCGAUGAGAGAAGCCAUAUGUGUUAAAAUCAACGAAGAAAUUGAAAAUUCGAUGAAACUUUUGGCUCGACAACCGACAAAUCAAUUCCACAAACACGAAAACUCUUGAAAAAAAAAAUAGCAUCGAAGAAAAGAGAAUAAAAUGGAAAUUGCUCACUUUUUA